AUACGGAGGGUGCAAGCGUUGUCCGGAUUUAGUGGGUUUAAAGGGUGCGUAGGUGGUUUUUUAAGUCAGUGGUGAAAGCCUACAGCUUAACUGUAGAGGUGCCAUUGAUACUGGGGAACUUGAGUAUGGACGAGGUAGGCGGAAUUUGUGGUGUAGCGGUGAAAUGCAUAGAUACCACAAGGAACACCGAUAGCGAAGGCAGCUUACUGGGCCAUAACUGACACUGAGGCACGAAAGCGUGGGGAGCGAACAGGAUUAGAAACCCUAGUAGUCC
rnacentral:rRNA from 1 species